CAGCUCUGGCUGUACCAAGGGGUGGUGGAGCCCUGGAGCCCCCCCGGAGGCACCCCGGAAGCCGAGGAACAGCCCAGUGCCGUGGAAGAGGUGGGGCCCCCCCCGGGCAAAGAGCCCCCCCCGGGGACCCCCCCGUCUGCCCCCCCUUCGGCCCCCCCCAGCGGCCCCUCGCCCGCCUCCAGCUUUGAGUACACGCUGUUUGACCCCGGCUCGGCCCUGCUCUGCCCCAGGGGGCACCCCCAAAUCGCCCCCCCCCACGAUCCCCCCGGCGGCCCCUACGCCAACCUGGCCCCCCCCCACAAAGGGCCCCCCCCGCCCGAGGAGGGGACCCCCAAAGAAACCCCCCACGACAGGAGACCCCCACGGGAGCUUCCGUGCAAUGGGAACCCCCCCGGGACCCUCCUGGCGUUGGGGCCCCCCCAAUGCCCCCCCCCUACGUGCUGUGCUCUUAAUGGAUGGGGGGGGGAGGGGGGGGCGGAGGGGGGGGUUGGGGACACCCCCCGGGAUGGGGUGACACCGAAUGGAGGGGACACGGCGACGUGAGGUCACGUGGGCUCACCACGACACGGGGACGUGUCACACCACGGCACGAGGAUGGAGGGGACGCGUCAUAGUGACGUCACGUGGGCUCACCAUGACACGAGGAUGGAGGGGACGCGUCAUAGUGACGUCACGUGGGCUCACCAUGACACGAGGACAGAGGUGACAUGUCAUAGUGACGUCACGUAGACUCACCACGACACGGGGACGGAGGUGACACACUGUAGUGAUGUCACAUGGACUCAUAGUGACAUCACGUGGACUCACCAUGACACAAGGAUGGAGGGGACGCGUCAUAGUGACGUCACAUGGGCUCACCAUGACAUGAGGAUGGAGGGGACACGUCACAGUGAUGUCACGUGGACUCACCAUGACAUGAGGACGGAGGUGACACACUGUAGUGAUGUCACGUGGACUCAUAGUGACAUCACAUGGACUCACCACAACACGAGGACGUGUCACACUGACACAUGGACGGAGGGGACACGUCAUAGUGAUGUCACGUGGACUCAUGGUGACAUCACGUGGACUCACCAUGACACGAGGACGUGUCACACUGACACAUGGAUGGAGGGGACACACUGUAGUGACGUCACGUGGACUCACCAUGACACGAGGAUGGAGGUGACACACUAUAGUGAUGUCACAUGGACUCACAGUGACAUCACGUGGACUCACCAUGACACGAGGAUGAUGGGGACACAUCGUAGUGAUGUCACGUGGACUCACCAUGACAGGAGGACGUGUCACACCAUGACACAUGGACGGAGGGGACUCACCACGACACGAGGAUGGAGGUGACGCGUCAUAGUGACGUCACGUGGACUCACCACGACACAAGGAUGGAGGGGACACACUGUAGUGAUGUCACAUGGACUCACAGUGACAUCAUGUGGACUCACCAUGACACGAGGAUGAGGGGGACACAUCGUAGUGAUGUCACGUGGACUCACCAUGACACGAGGACGUGUCACACCACGACACGAGGAUGAAGGUGACACACUGUAGUGAUGUCACGUGGACUCAUAGUGACAUCACGUGGACUCACCACGACACGAGGACGUGUCACACUGUGACACAUGGAUGGAGGUGACGUGUCAUAGUGAUGUCACGUGGACUCACCACAACACGAGGACGUGUCACACUGUGACACAUGGACGGAGGGGACUCACCACGACACGAGGAUGGAGGUGACGCGUCAUAGUGACGUCACGUGGACUCACCACGACACGGGGACGGAGGGGACACGUCGCAGUGACGUCACGUGGGGACACAGCGGGGUUGUGGGGGUGGUCCCGUCCCACCCCCCACCCCCCCCCAAUGUCCGAACGCCGAAUUGGGGCCACUCGUGUUGGUUUGCCACUGUUUUAUACAAUAAAGCACUCGUGAGCGCA
rnacentral:lncRNA from 1 species